GGGUUGUGAGGUUAAGCGACUAAGCGUACACGGUGGAUGCCCUGGCAGUCAGAGGCGAUGAAGGACGUGCUAAUCUGCGAUAAGCGUCGGUAAGGUGAUAUGAACCGUUAUAACCGGCGAUUUCCGAAUGGGGAAACCCAGUGUGAUUCGUCACACUAUCAUUAACUGAAUCCAUAGGUUAAUGAGGCGAACCGGGGGAACUGAAACAUCUAAGUACCCCGAGGAAAAGAAAUCAACCGAGAUUCCCCCAGUAGCGGCGAGCGAACGGGGAGGAGCCCAGAGCCUGAAUCAGUGUGUGUGUUAGUGGAAGCGUCUGGAAAGGCGCGCGAUACAGGGUGACAGCCCCGUACACAAAAAUGCACAUGCUGUGAGCUCGAUGAGUAGGGCGGGACACGUGGUAUCCUGUCUGAAUAUGGGGGGACCAUCCUCCAAGGCUAAAUACUCCUGACUGACCGAUAGUGAACCAGUACCGUGAGGGAAAGGCGAAAAGAACCCCGGCGAGGGGAGUGAAAAAGAACCUGAAACCGUGUACGUACAAGCAGUGGGAGCACGCUUAGGCGUGUGACUGCGUACCUUUUGUAUAAUGGGUCAGCGACUUAUAUUCUGUAGCAAGGUUAACCGAAUAGGGGAGCCGAAGGGAAACCGAGUCUUAACUGGGCGUUAAGUUGCAGGGUAUAGACCCGAAACCCGGUGAUCUAGCCAUGGGCAGGUUGAAGGUUGGGUAACACUAACUGGAGGACCGAACCGACUAAUGUUGAAAAAUUAGCGGAUGACUUGUGGCUGGGGGUGAAAGGCCAAUCAAACCGGGAGAUAGCUGGUUCUCCCCGAAAGCUAUUUAGGUAGCGCCUCGUGAAUUCAUCUCCGGGGGUAGAGCACUGUUUCGGCAAGGGGGUCAUCCCGACUUACCAACCCGAUGCAAACUGCGAAUACCGGAGAAUGUUAUCACGGGAGACACACGGCGGGUGCUAACGUCCGUCGUGAAGAGGGAAACAACCCAGACCGCCAGCUAAGGUCCCAAAGUCAUGGUUAAGUGGGAAACGAUGUGGGAAGGCCCAGACAGCCAGGAUGUUGGCUUAGAAGCAGCCAUCAUUUAAAGAAAGCGUAAUAGCUCACUGGUCGAGUCGGCCUGCGCGGAAGAUGUAACGGGGCUAAACCAUGCACCGAAGCUGCGGCAGCGACGCUUAUGCGUUGUUGGGUAGGGGAGCGUUCUGUAAGCCUGCGAAGGUGUGCUGUGAGGCAUGCUGGAGGUAUCAGAAGUGCGAAUGCUGACAUAAGUAACGAUAAAGCGGGUGAAAAGCCCGCUCGCCGGAAGACCAAGGGUUCCUGUCCAACGUUAAUCGGGGCAGGGUGAGUCGACCCCUAAGGCGAGGCCGAAAGGCGUAGUCGAUGGGAAACAGGUUAAUAUUCCUGUACUUGGUGUUACUGCGAAGGGGGGACGGAGAAGGCUAUGUUGGCCGGGCGACGGUUGUCCCGGUUUAAGCGUGUAGGCUGGUUUUCCAGGCAAAUCCGGAAAACUAAGGCUGAGGCGUGAUGACGAGGCACUACGGUGCUGAAGCAACAAAUGCCCUGCUUCCAGGAAAAGCCUCUAAGCAUCAGGUAACAUCAAAUCGUACCCCAAACCGACACAGGUGGUCAGGUAGAGAAUACCAAGGCGCUUGAGAGAACUCGGGUGAAGGAACUAGGCAAAAUGGUGCCGUAACUUCGGGAGAAGGCACGCUGAUAUGUAGGUGAAGUCCCUCGCGGAUGGAGCUGAAAUCAGUCGAAGAUACCAGCUGGCUGCAACUGUUUAUUAAAAACACAGCACUGUGCAAACACGAAAGUGGACGUAUACGGUGUGACGCCUGCCCGGUGCCGGAAGGUUAAUUGAUGGGGUCAGCGCAAGCGAAGCUCUUGAUCGAAGCCCCGGUAAACGGCGGCCGUAACUAUAACGGUCCUAAGGUAGCGAAAUUCCUUGUCGGGUAAGUUCCGACCUGCACGAAUGGCGUAAUGAUGGCCAGGCUGUCUCCACCCGAGACUCAGUGAAAUUGAACUCGCUGUGAAGAUGCAGUGUACCCGCGGCAAGACGGAAAGACCCCGUGAACCUUUACUAUAGCUUGACACUGAACAUUGAGCCUUGAUGUGUAGGAUAGGUGGGAGGCUUUGAAGUGUGGACGCCAGUCUGCAUGGAGCCGACCUUGAAAUACCACCCUUUAAUGUUUGAUGUUCUAACGUUGACCCGUGAUCCGGGUUGCGGACAGUGUCUGGUGGGUAGUUUGACUGGGGCGGUCUCCUCCUAAAGAGUAACGGAGGAGCACGAAGGUUGGCUAAUCCUGGUCGGACAUCAGGAGGUUAGUGCAAUGGCAUAAGCCAGCUUGACUGCGAGCGUGACGGCGCGAGCAGGUGCGAAAGCAGGUCAUAGUGAUCCGGUGGUUCUGAAUGGAAGGGCCAUCGCUCAACGGAUAAAAGGUACUCCGGGGAUAACAGGCUGAUACCGCCCAAGAGUUCAUAUCGACGGCGGUGUUUGGCACCUCGAUGUCGGCUCAUCACAUCCUGGGGCUGAAGUAGGUCCCAAGGGUAUGGCUGUUCGCCAUUUAAAGUGGUACGCGAGCUGGGUUUAGAACGUCGUGAGACAGUUCGGUCCCUAUCUGCCGUGGGCGCUGGAGAACUGAGGGGGGCUGCUCCUAGUACGAGAGGACCGGAGUGGACGCAUCACUGGUGUUCGGGUUGUCAUGCCAAUGGCACUGCCCGGUAGCUAAAUGCGGAAGAGAUAAGUGCUGAAAGCAUCUAAGCACGAAACUUGCCCCGAGAUGAGUUCUCCCUGACUCCUUGAGAGUCCUGAAGGAACGUUGAAGACGACGACGUUGAUAGGCCGGGUGUGUAAGCGCAGCGAUGCGUUGAGCUAACCGGUACUAAUGAACCGUGAGGCUUAACCUUACAACGCCGAAGGUGUUU
rnacentral:rRNA from 1 species